UUGCCCUAGUAACGGCGAGUGAAGCGGCAACAGCUCAAAUUUGAAAUCUGGCUCUUUCAGAGUCCGAGUUGUAAUUUGCAGAGGGUGCUUUGGUGGUAGUUGCGGUCUAAGUUCUUUGGAACAGGACGUCACAGAGGGUGAGAAUCCCGUAUGUGGUCGCUACUUAUCACCGUGUAAAGCCCCUUCGACGAGUCGAGUUGUUUGGGAAUGCAGCUCUAAAUGGGAGGUAAAUUUCUUCUAAAGCUAAAUACUGGCCAGAGACCGAUAGCGCACAAGUAGAGUGAUCGAAAGAUGAAAAGCACUUUGGAAAGAGAGUCAAAUAGCACGUGAAAUUGUUGAAAGGGAAGCGCUUGCAGCCAGACUUGCCUGUAGUUGCUUACCUAGACUUUUGUCUGGGGUACUCUUCUGCAGGCAGGCCAGCAUCAGUUUGGGCGGUUGGAUAAAGGUCUCUGUCACGUACCUCCUUUCGGGGAGGCCUUAUAGGGGAGACGUCAUACAACCAGCCUGGACUGAGGUCCGCGCAUCUGCUAGGAUGCUGGCGUAAUGGCUGUAAGCGGCCCGUCUUGAAACACGGACCAAGGAGUCUAACAUCUAUGCGAGUGUUUGGGUGUCAAGCCCAUACGCGUAAUGAAAGUGAACGGAGGUGGGAACCUUAGGGUGCACCAUCGACCGAUCCUGAUGUCUUCGGAUGGAUUUGAGUAAGAGCAUGGCUGUUGGGACCCGAAAGAUGGUGAACUAUGCUUGAAUAGGGUGAAGCCAGAGGAAACUCUGGUGGAGGCUCGCAGCGGUUCUGACGUGCAAAUCGAUCGUCAAAUUUGGGCAUAGGGGCGAAAGACUAAUCGAACUAUCUAGUAGCUGGUUCCUGCCGAAGUUUCCCUCAGGAUAGCAGUAACGUUUUCAGUU
rnacentral:rRNA from 1 species